rnacentral:rRNA from 1 species
UACGAAGGGGGCUAGCGUUGCUCGGAAUUACUGGGCGUAAAGGGCGCGUAGGCGGACAGUUUAGUCAGAGGUGAAAGCCCAGGGCUCAACCUUGGAAUUGCCUUUGAUACUGGCUGUCUUGAGUACGGGAGAGGUGAGUGGAACUCCGAGUGUAGAGGUGAAAUUCGUAGAUAUUCGGAAGAACACCAGUGGCGAAGGCGACUCACUGGCCCGUUACUGACGCUGAGGAGCGAAAGCGUGGGGAGCGAACAGG